AAUGUUUCACCACUUUAAUAGAAUAUUCUAACUAUUCUGUACAAAUUGAAAACACUGUAUUCAGUUACAAAUGUGUUCUAAGGUUAGGCCGAGCACUCUCCACAGGCCUGGUCAGUGCGGACACGGCCAUCCCCGGCUGCCGGAGAGCGCCGUCACCCACUUGAAAACCCCACCCACCAGCCGCCAAGCGGUCACACCAAACCCAGGACCUUCAGACAGGAUGAAUGGGAAGAAUUCAGUCCAACUGCAGGAGGGGUGGGAGAGGUUCCAGAUCCUGGGAACCACAUCACCAGACCUCGGCCCUUUUUGCCAAGUGACCCCCACCCCACCCUGAUGUGGUCUACAGGGCCCUCCCACAGGGAAAGGCCCAGGGAAGUCCAGAGCUACAGGCACCAAGGCUGCAGAGGGUGCUGGACGAAACCUCCUAUUUCUGAAAUGCAUUUCAGUUGCCACUGUACAAGUUAAGCAAAAUAAUAAGGAAAAAGGAAAAGUGAAAGUGAAAAUCAUGCACUUGAAAACGAGUUAGAUGGAGUAAGCUCUGUCCACGG
rnacentral:lncRNA from 10 species